rnacentral:rRNA from 1 species
UUAGCAUAUCAUAGCGGAGGAAAAAGAAAAAUAACAAUGAUUUCCCCUAGUAACCGGCGAGUGAAGAGGAAAGAGCUCAAAGUUGGAAACUGUUUGGCUUAGCUAAACCGUAUUGUAAACUGUAAGAAACAUUUUCCUGGCACACCAGAUUAAUAAGUCCUUUGGAACAAGGCAUCAUGGAGGGUGAGAAUCCCGUCUUUGAUCUGAGUAGUUGUCUUUUGUGAUAUGUUUUCAAAGAGUCAGGUUGUUUGGGAAUGCAGCCUAAAUUGGGUGGUAAAUCUCACCUAAAGCUAAAUAUUUGCGAGAGACCGAUAGCGAACAAGUACCGUGAGGGAAAGAUGAAAAGAACUUUGAAAAGAGAGUUAAACAGUAUGUGAAAUUGUUAAAAGGGAACCGUUUGGAGCCAGACUGGUUUGCUUGUAAUCAACCUAGAAUUCGUUUUGGGUGCACUUGCAGGCUAUACCUGCCAACAACAGUUUGAUUUGGAGGAAAAAAUUAAUAGGAAUGUAGCCUCUCGAGGUGUUAUAGCCUAUUAUCAUACUCUGGAUUGGACUGAGGAACGCAGCGAAUGCCUUUAGGCAAGAUUGCUGGGUGCUUUCGCUAAUAAAUGUUAGAAUUUCUGCUUCGGGUGGUGCUAAUGUUUAAAGGAGGAACACAUCUAGUAUAUUUUUUAUUCGCUUAGGUUGUUGGCUUAAUGACUCUAAAUGACCCGUCUUGAAACACGGACCAAGGAGUCCACCAUAAGUGCAAGUAUUUGAGUGACAAACUCAUAUGCGUAAGGAAACUGAUUGAUACGAAGUCUUUUGAUGGCAGUAUCACCCGGCGUCGACGUUUUAACUGAAAUGACCGAGGUAAAGCACUUAUGAUGGGACCCGAAAGAUGGUGAACUAUGCCUGAAUUAGGGUGAAGCCAGAGGAAACUCUGGUGGAGGCUCGUAGCGAUUCUGACGUGCAAAUCGAUCGUCAAAUUUGGGUAUAGGGGGCGAAAGACUAAUCGAAACCAUCUAGUAGCUGGGUUCCUGGCUGAGU